GCAUAUCAAUAAGCGGAGGAAAAGAAACCAACAGGGAUUGCCCCAGUAACGGCGAGUGAAGCGGCAACAGCUCAAAUUUGAAAUCUGGCCCCUCGGGGUCCGAGUUGUAAUUUGUAGAGGAUGCUUUUGGUGAGGUGCCGCCCGAGUUCCCUGGAACGGGACGCCACAGAGGGUGAGAGCCCCGUCUGGCUGGCCGCCGAGCCUCUGUAAAGCUCCUUCGACGAGUCGAGUAGUUUGGGAAUGCUGCUCAAAAUGGGAGGUAUAUGUCUUCUAAAGCUAAAUAUUGGCCAGAGACCGAUAGCGCACAAGUAGAGUGAUCGAAAGAUGAAAAGCACCUUGAAAAGAGGGUUAAAUAGUACGUGAAAUUGUUGAAAGGGAAGCGCUUGUGACCAGACUUGGGCGCGGCGGAUCAUCCGGGGUUCUCUCCGGUGCACUUCGCCGCGUCUGGGCCAGCAUCAGUUCGUCGCGGGGGAAAAAGGCUUCGGGAACGUGGCUCCUCCGGGAGUGUUAUAGCCCGUUGCAUAAUACCCUGCGGUGGACUGAGGACCGCGCAUCUGCAAGGAUGCUGGCGUAAUGGUCACCAGCGACCCGUCUUGAAACACGGACCAAGGAGUCGUCUUCGUAUGCGAGUGUUCGGGUGUCAAACCCCUACGCGUAAUGAAAGUGAACGCAGGUGAGAGCUUCGGCGCAUCAUCGACCGAUCCUGAUGUUCUCGGAUGGAUUUGAGUAAGAGCAUACGGGGCCGGACCCGAAAGAAGGUGAACUAUGCCUGUAUAGGGUGAAGCCAGAGGAAACUCUGGUGGAGGCUCGCAGCGGUUCUGACGUGCAAAUCGAUCGUCAAAUAUGGGCAUGGGGGCGAAAGACUAAUCGAACCUUCUAGUAGCUGGUUUCCGC
rnacentral:rRNA from 1 species